rnacentral:tRNA from 1 species
GCCAGCGUAGCUCAGUUGGUAGAGCAGCGGUUUCGUAAACCGCAGGUCAGCAGUUCGAUUCUGCUCGCUGGCU